UCAGCACGUAAAUAUUGCAAGCCUUUAACAUUCAGAAUAAAAUAAACUGCUCCGCAAACCGCAAAUUAAGAACCCCUGCGCACGUUUGCAUUCCAUCCGUCAACCGAGAAGAACGACCGAUCGGCGACGCUCACAGAAUUUCGUAUAUCUGCACACCAUGAGACCACCUUCUGCAUAGCAUCGAGAACGUGCACCAGGAAAUAACAACCACAUAAGACUGCCACUACCACAACGUCAAGCUAGAGCAGAGAGACCACUCUCUGCGCUCUUUUACGCACACAGUCGUCACACACGCCACGACGGGAGAGACGAUUGAGAAUUAUUCGCAGCCAGCUCACUCAGUGUCAGCCCGCCGAAACGACAGUGCACGCAAAUCGAAAGAGUCCGGUCUUCGUUGAAACGAAAAACUUAGCCGUCCAUCUUGUGAAGUUUGGGUAGGAUAACCGCGUGUGGUUCCUCGAGUGAAAUUAGUGCCAGGCAGGAGGCCCACCAUUUGAUUCCAGCCAAGGGAAAUAGAGCGCACAGAGGGACACACGGACCACCAUUUUGCAUUUCGGUUUGCAGAAACCACGUUGCCCAGGGUAAAAAA
rnacentral:lncRNA from 1 species